GUGGGGAAUUUUGGACAAUGGGCGCAAGCCUGAUCCAGCCAUUCCGCGUGCAGGAUGAAGGCCUUCGGGUUGUAAACUGCUUUUGUACGGAACGAAAAGCCUCUGGUUAAUACCCGGGGGUCAUGACGGUACCGUAAGAAUAAGCACCGGCUAACUACGUGCCAGCAGCCGCGGUAAUACGUAGGGUGCGAGCGUUAAUCGGAAUUACUGGGCGUAAAGCGUGCGCAGGCGGUGAUGUAAGACAGUUGUGAAAUCCCCGGGCUCAACCUGGGAACUGCAUCGGUGACUGCAUUGCUGGAGUGCGGCAGAGGGGGAUGGAAUUCCGCGUGUAGCAGUGAAAUGCGUAGAUAUGCGGAGGAACACCGAUGGCGAAGGCAAUCCCCUGGGCCUGCACUGACGCUCAUGCACGAAAGCGUGGGGAGCAAACAGGAUUAGAAACCCGUGUAGUCC
rnacentral:rRNA from 1 species